rfam:Haemonchus contortus, ISE/inbred ISE, WGS project CAVP01000000 data, contig: Hcontortus_48037
GGCCCAAAUGUGAAGUAGAGUAGAUUGAAGGAUCAUCUGACCCUAUUAAACUGCUCUGCUUCGAGUUUGUACCC